rnacentral:rRNA from 1 species
AGAGUUUGAUCAUGGCUCAGAUUGAACGCUGGCGGCAGGCCUAACACAUGCAAGUCGAGCGGUAGCACAGAGAGCUUGCUCUCGGGUGACGAGCGGCGGACGGGUGAGUAAUGUCUGGGAAACUGCCUGAUGGAGGGGGAUAACUACUGGAAACGGUAGCUAAUACCGCAUAACGUCGCAAGACCAAAGUGGGGGACCUUCGGGCCUCAUGCCAUCAGAUGUGCCCAGAUGGGAUUAGCUAGUAGGUGGGGUAACGGCUCACCUAGGCGACGAUCCCUAGCUGGUCUGAGAGGAUGACCAGCCACACUGGAACUGAGACACGGUCCAGACUCCUACGGGAGGCAGCAGUGGGGAAUAUUGCACAAUGGGCGCAAGCCUGAUGCAGCCAUGCCGCGUGUGUGAAGAAGGCCUUCGGGUUGUAAAGCACUUUCAGCGGGGAGGAAGGCGUUAAGGUUAAUAACCUUGGCGAUUGACGUUACCCGCAGAAGAAGCACCGGCUAACUCCGUGCCAGCAGCCGCGGUAAUACGGAGGGUGCAAGCGUUAAUCGGAAUUACUGGGCGUAAAGCGCACGCAGGCGGUCUGUCAAGUCGGAUGUGAAAUCCCCGGGCUCAACCUGGGAACUGCAUUCGAAACUGGCAGGCUAGAGUCUUGUAGAGGGGGGUAGAAUUCCAGGUGUAGCGGUGAAAUGCGUAGAGAUCUGGAGGAAUACCGGUGGCGAAGGCGGCCCCCUGGACAAAGACUGACGCUCAGGUGCGAAAGCGUGGGGAGCAAACAGGAUUAGAUACCCUGGUAGUCCACGCCGUAAACGAUGUCGAUUUGGAGGUUGUGCCCUUGAGGCGUGGCUUCCGGAGCUAACGCGUUAAAUCGACCGCCUGGGGAGUACGGCCGCAAGGUUAAAACUCAAAUGAAUUGACGGGGGCCCGCACAAGCGGUGGAGCAUGUGGUUUAAUUCGAUGCAACGCGAAGAACCUUACCUGGUCUUGACAUCCACAGAACUUUCCAGAGAUGGAUUGGUGCCUUCGGGAACUGUGAGACAGGUGCUGCAUGGCUGUCGUCAGCUCGUGUUGUGAAAUGUUGGGUUAAGUCCCGCAACGAGCGCAACCCUUAUCCUUUGUUGCCAGCGGUUCGGCCGGGAACUCAAAGGAGACUGCCAGUGAUAAACUGGAGGAAGGUGGGGAUGACGUCAAGUCAUCAUGGCCCUUACGACCAGGGCUACACACGUGCUACAAUGGCAUAUACAAAGAGAAGCGACCUCGCGAGAGCAAGCGGACCUCAUAAAGUAUGUCGUAGUCCGGAUUGGAGUCUGCAACUCGACUCCAUGAAGUCGGAAUCGCUAGUAAUCGUAGAUCAGAAUGCUACGGUGAAUACGUUCCCGGGCCUUGUACACACCGCCCGUCACACCAU